CGGCGGCCUGUGUGUGUUUUAGGACGUGCGUCGCGCAAAGACCCGGAAGCUGCCGGGAGCGCGGAGACUGCAGCGGGUGGAACAGACACAGGAUCGUGUUCUGCCACCCAGAGUCAUUUUUUGGAUUUUUAGUAGAAACGGGGGUUUCACCGUGUUGGCCAGGCUGGUCUCGAACUCGUGACCUCAGGCGAUCCGCCCACCUCGGCCCCCAGAAGUGCUGGGAUUACAGGCGUGAGCAGGUGCACCCGGCUAAGAGCCGCUAAUUCCUACGUCCCCCUGUGUUGGGGGCGCAAGGUGGGUUUGCCGUUCGGAGUCUGCUGAGGUUGGUUCCCAGGGUUCGCCUGUGAUGGAUGGGCCGGCGAGCGCUUCCAGGGCCGUCUCGGGAGUGGGCUGCACAAACACGAACGAGGACUGGAUGUCGGCGCUGUGUCCCCGGCUCUGGGACGUGCCCCUCCACCACCUCUCCAUCCCAGGGAGCCAUGACACCAUGACCUACUGCCUCAACAAGAAGUCACCCAUUUCCCAGGGGGAGUCCCGGCUGCUGCAGAUGCUCAACAGGUGGAUCCCCUGCAUCACGCGCCCCGUGGUGCUGAAAUGGUCCGUCACCCAGGUGCUGGACGUCACGGAGCAGCUGGACGCCGGCGUGCGGUACCUAGACCUGCGGAUUGCCCACAUGCUGGACGGCUCGGAGAAGAACCUGCAUUUCGUUCAUAUGGUCUACACCACGGCCCUCGUGGAGGACACGCUCACGGAGAUCUCAGAGUGGCUCGAGCGACAUCCUCGCGAGGUGGUCAUCCUGGCCUGCAGAAACUUCGAGGGGCUGAGCGAGGACCUGCACGAGUACCUCAUCUCCUGCAUCAACACCAUCUUCGGGGAGAUGCUGUGUCCCCGCGGGGAGGUGCCGACGCUGAGGCAGCUGUGGGCGCGCGGCCAGCAGGUCAUCGUGUCCUAUGAGGACGAGAGCGCCCUGGGCCGGCACCGGGAGCUAUGGCCGGGAAUCCCCUACUGGUGGGGGGACCAGGUGAAGCCCGACGCCCUCAUCCGAUACCUGGAGACCAUGAAGAGCUGUGGCCGUCCAGAGACGGGGUUUCACCAUGUUGGCCAGGCUGGUCUUGAACUCCUGACCUCAGAUGGUCUGCCCGCCUCAGCCUCCCAAGGUGCUGGGAUUACAAGCGUGAGCCACGACGCCCGGCCUAGAAAAAAGUCUUAAAAGCCACUGAGAGAACGUGGCCUUAACCUUCUGCUGUCUUCUGGGCUUGGACUGAGCACAACUGGACAACACAGGGGCACGGGAACCUGCCUACCCCUGGGGGGGCUCCUUCCAGGACAGCCUGCAGCCCUCCUCGCCCUGCCCUGCAGAGAUUCUGCCUCAGCAGAUCUAAGUGGACCCUCAAAAAUGUGCAUUUCUCAUUAUGCAGGGACCCCAUUUCCACAAUCACUGGUCGGUGUCAACACUAUAAGCCUCAUGACAAAUGGCACAGACUGUGCCGAAGGCAACAGCGUUCUUCUCUGUCUCCCACACGGGGAUUAGGACGUGGACGUCUUUGGGGCCAUUAUUCUGUCUCCCAUAUGGGGAUUAGGAUGGGCACGUCUUUGGGGCCAUUAUUGUGUCUCCCACAUGGGGAUCACGACGUGGACGUCUUUGUGGCCAUUACUGUGUCUCCCACAUGUGGAUUAGGACGUGGACGUCUUUGGGGCCAUUAUUGUGUCUCCCACAUAUGGAUCACGACGUGGACGUCUUUGGGGCCAUUACUGUGUCUCCCACAUGUGGAUUAGGAUGUGGACGUCUUUGGGGCCAUUAUUGUGUCUCCCACACGGGGAUUAGAAUGUGGACGUCUUUGGGGCCAUUAUUCUGUCUCCCACAUGUGGAUUAGGACGUGGGCGUCUUUGGGGCCAUUAUUCUGUCUCCCACACGGGGAUCAGGACGUGGAUGUCUUAGGGGCCAUUCUUCUGUCUCCCACAUGGGGAUCAGGAUGUGGGCAUCUUUGGGGCCAUUAUUCUGUCUCCCACAUGGGAUCACGACGUGGGCAUCUUUGGGGCCAUUAUUGUGUCUCCCACAUGGGGAUUAGGACGUGGAUGUCUUAGGGGCCAUUAUUGUGUCUCCCACAUGGGGAUCAGGACGUGGGCAUCUUUGGGGCCAUUAUUCUGUCUCCCACACGGGGAUUAGGACGUGGACGUCUUUGGGGCCAUUAUUCUGUCUCCCACAUGGGGAUCAGGAUGUGGGCAUCUUUGGGGCCAUUAUUGUGUCUCCCACACGGGGAUCAGGAUGUGGGCAUCUUUGGGGUCAUUAUUGUGUCUCCCACAUGGGGAUUAGGACGUGGACGUCUGGGGCCAUUAUUCUGUCUCCCACAUGGGGAUUAGGAUGUGGACGUCUUUGGGGCCAUUACUGUGUCUCCCACAUGUGGAUUAGGACGUGGACGUCUUUGGGGCAUUAUUCUGUCUCCCACACGGGGAUUAGAAUGUGGACGUCUUUGGGGCCAUUAUUCUGUCUCCCACAUGUGGAUUAGGACGUGGGCAUCUUUGGGGCCAUUAUUCUGUCUCCCACACGGGGAUUAGGACGUGGACGUCUUUGGGGCCAUUAUUCUGUCUCCCACAUGGGAAUCAGGACGUGGGCAUCUUUGGGGCCAUUAUUCUGUCUCCCACAUGUGGAUUAGGACGUGGGCAUCUUUGGGGCCAUUAUUCUGUCUCCCACAUGUGGAUUAGGACGUGGGCAUCUUUGGGGCCAUUAUUGUGUCUCCCACAUGGGGAUUAGGAUGUGGGCAUCUUUGGGGUCAUUAUUGUGUCUCCCACAUGGGAAUCAGGACGUGGGCGUCUUUGGGGCCAUUAUUCUGUCUCCCACAUGGGAAUCAGGACGUGGGCGUCUUUGGGGUCAUUAUUCUGUCUCCCACAUGGGAAUCAGGACGUGGGCAUCUUUGGGGCCAUUAUUCUGUCUCCCACAUGGGGAUCAGGACGUGGGCGUCUUUGGGGUCAUUAUUCUGUCUCCCACAUGGGGAUCAGGACGUGGGCGUCUUUGGGGCCAUUAUUCUGUCUCCCACAUGGGGAUCAGGAUGUGGGCAUCUUUGGGGCCAUUAUUGUGUCUCCGACAUGGGGAUCACGACGUGGGCAUCUUUGGGGUCAUUAUUCUGUCUCCCACAUGGGGAUCAGGACGUGGGCAUCUUUGUGGCCAUAAUUACUGAGAAUUGAACCUCUAACCAUGUGAGUAAGAGGGGCAAACGGGCGGGUGGAGGCAGGUGGCCGUGUGACGUCUCCCUCACCCCACUGUGCUAGGAGGGCUGUUUGUGGCCGGCAUCAACCUGACUGAGAACCUGCCGUACAUCCUGGCGCACCCGUCGGAGUCCCUGCAGAAGCUGACGACGCCCAACCUGCCGCGCCUGUGCGCCUGGGUCCGGGAGCAGUGCCCGGGGCCGGGGUCCCGCUGCACCAACGUCAUCGCGGGAGACUUCGUGGGCAAAGACGGCUUCGUCAGCGACGUCGUGGCACUGAACCGGAAGCUUCUGUGGUGCUGACGGGGACCCUUCCGAAGUCCGGGACGCGGCGGCUGCAGUAGAGACGAGAUUUCACGAUAUUGAACAGGGCGGUCUCGAACUCCUGACCUCAGGUGAUCCACGUGGCUCACCCUCCUGCUGGGAUUACAGGUGUGAGCCACCGCGCCCGAUGAGACGGGUUUUCACCGUGCUACCCCGGCUGGUCUCGAACUCCUGACCUCAGGUGAUCCACCCGCCUGGGCCUCCCAAAGUGCUGGGAUGACAGACGUGACCCACCGCGCCCGGCGACUCCCGUCUCUACUAAACAUACAAAAAAAUGAUCUGGGCGUGGUGCGGGCGCCUGUAAUCCCAGCUACUCGGGAGGCUGAGGCAGGAGGAUCGCUUGAACCCGGGAGGCGGAGGCUGCAGGGAGCCGAGAUCGCAUCACUGGACUCCAGCCUGGGCAGCAAGAGUCCUUUUAAAAAAUAAAAAACACACACAAACAAAGACGCACUCAUCGGCCGUACCCACGGCUUCGUCACCCCACGACUACGCCCCGUUACAGGCGAUUUCCCCGACGUCCGUCGGCUCCGAAUCCCCGUCCUGAAACGCUGGGGUCUCUAUCGGCGUCUCUUCCACACAACCAGGGGAUUCAUGGACCAUUUAAAUAAAUGAACGGGAUUAAACCCAAA